rnacentral:rRNA from 1 species
AUUGAACGCUGGCGGCAGGCUUAACACAUGCAAGUCGAGCGGGGGAAGGUAGCUUGCUACCGGACCUAGCGGCGGACGGGUGAGUAAUGCUUAGGAAUCUGCCUAUUAGUGGGGGACAACAUCUCGAAAGGGAUGCUAAUACCGCAUACGUCCUACGGGAGAAAGCAGGGGAUCUUCGGACCUUGCGCUAAUAGAUGAGCCUAAGUCGGAUUAGCUAGUUGGUGGGGUAAAGGCCUACCAAGGCGACGAUCUGUAGCGGGUCUGAGAGGAUGAUCCGCCACACUGGGACUGAGACACGGCCCAGACUCCUACGGGAGGCGGCAGUGGGGAAUAUUGGACAAUGGGGGGAACCCUGAUCCAGCCAUGCCGCGUGUGUGAAGAAGGCCUUAUGGUUGUAAAGCACUUUAAGCGAGGAGGAGGCUACUUUAGUUAAUACCUAGAGAUAGUGGACGUUACUCGCAGAAUAAGCACCGGCUAACUCUGUGCCAGCAGCCGCCGUAACAC